CACGUAGUUAGCCGGUGCUUAUUCUUUAGGUACCGUCAGCAAAAAGUGGUAUUAGCACUUCCCUUUUCUUCCCUAACAAAAGUACUUUACAACCCGAAGGCCUUCUUCAUACACGCGGCAUGGCUGGAUCAGGGUUGCCCCCAUUGUCCAAAAUUCCCCACUGCUGCCUCCCGUAGGAGUCUGGGCCGUGUCUCAGUCCCAGUGUGGCGGAUCGUCCUCUCAGACCCGCUACUGAUCGUCGCCUUGGUAGGCCUUUACCCCACCAACUAGCUAAUCAGUUAUCGGCCGCUCGAAUAACGCGAGGUCUUGCGAUCCCCCGCUUUCUCCCGUAGGACGUAUGCGGUAUUAGCCAAUCUUUCGAUUGGUUAUCCCCCAUUACUCGGUACGUUCCGAUAUAUUACUCACCCGUUCGCCACUCGCCGGACAGUAGUGCAAGCACUACCCCGCUGCCGUUCGACUUGCAUGUGUAAAGCAUGCCGCCAGCGUUCAAUCUGAGCCAGGAUCAAACUCU
rnacentral:rRNA from 1 species